rnacentral:rRNA from 1 species
GACGAACGCUGGCGGCGUGCUUAACACAUGCAAGUCGAGCGGUAAGGCCCUUUCGGGGGUACACGAGCGGCGAACGGGUGAGUAACACGUGGGUGACCUGCCCUCAGCUCUGGGAUAAGCCUGGGAAACUGGGUCUAAUACUGGAUAUGACUCCACGGUGCAUGUCGUGGGGUGGAAAGCCUUGUGCGGCUGAGGAUGGGCCCGCGGCCUAUCAGCUUGUUGGUGGGGGAUGGCCUACCAAGGCGACGACGGGUAGCCGGCCAGAGAGGGCGACCGGCCACACUGGGACUGAGACACGGCCCAGACUCCUACGGGAGGCAGCAGUGGGGAAUCUUGCGCAAUGGGCGAAAGCCUGACGCAGCGACGCCGCGUGAGGGAUGACGGCCU